UACGCGACGGAAGUGGCAGCUUGUACACCGACGUCACGUGGGCCGCAUGUACACUUCCGGCGGUUCGGAAAGGUUGUUGAAGUUUCAGAAUCGUGCGGAGACGCCGGGAGUCGCCGGUGUCGAUAGAGCACAGAGGCUAUGGAGGCGAUCAACAACGAAGCGCUGAUCGCCUGCGUUGAGGCUCGACCUGCGCUUUGAUAGCAGGCGAAACACAAGCGCCACUAGAGCAAGCACUUGACGAGGUGGUCGUGGAUCGUCAUGCCCAACGCUGCCGAACAGGAUGUCCGCCAACCUUCCACCAGUGCCCCCAUCGAGUGAGGAGGGAAGUGCUGCAGACAUCUUAACAAAAAAUGUGCCAGUUUUCCGAUCUGGCAACACUUGAAGUGCCAUCACCGUCAAGUGAAGAGUCACAAGCGCCAGCAUCGACUGUCUUCGGCGUCGCAUGAGUCUGUGGAGUCUCAGGACAUUUCGAAUCUCUUGAAUCACCGAUGUUUCAAGAAGUUCUGGUUCCUGAGGAUUCUGAGGCACACCACAGCAGUCCGCAGUCAGAAGCAUCGCUGGCUUCAGCAGGCAGUCGUAGGCUGGAUACGUUAGGAAGCAUUGCUUCUGAAGCAAAGUCAAGGGGGAGGAAAAGGAAAAAGAAAGAUUAGAGUCAGUUAAUAUUGGAGGAAUCAGGCAAUGUUUCAAGUGCAAUCAAAAGAUGCAAACCACAGGACGACCUCGAACUUUUGCCGUCUCUCUGCUCAAACACAUUAGAGAGGUCAGUGAGGAUACGCAUCUCGACUUGAAAAUUAAAUUGAUGCAAGUAGGAGAGUUAUUCAAAGAUUAAUGUUUUUUAAUGUAUACUUUUUGUAUAAUAAAGCCAAGAGACAAUGAAACAAAAGGAAAUCAUUGAUGAAUUUAAUUACUUUAUAUCGAAAUGGAAAAAUAAGGAGGAAAAUGAAAGUAUAUGAAAAGGUAGCUUCCCACUAAUGGGAGACGAACCCACAACCUUUGAAUUAUGCUUGCAUUGCUUUACCAGUAGAGCUGCAGCAAUGGCUAUCCCUCUGCAAACUUUCUUGGGCCUGUAUGUGCAUGUACUAGAUCUCACCCUGGUAGUGUUAGCCAGUGCUACUCGUGCAAGAACACUCCAAGAGCCUAAUCUAGUACACAUAAACAUUCUAUGAAAUUGAUGGUGGAAUAGCCUCCAGCUCAAUUGGUUUUGGUUUUAUCUCCCACCAGUGGCAAGUUAUAUUUUGUCCACUUUCAUUUCCCUUCUCCUUGUGAUGUUGACAUUACAAAUAAAAUGACAGUUAUUUUCCUUUAUGCUUUA